rnacentral:tRNA from 1 species
UUCCUAUUAGCUUAAUUGGUAGAGCAGAAUACUUCUAAUAUUCGGAUUUUGGUUCAAUUCCAAGAUAGGAGG